UAACCUGCCCAAGAGAUCGGGAUAACACCUGGAAACAGAUGCUAAUACCGGAUAACAACAGAUGAUGCCUAUCAACUGUUUAAAAGAUGGUUCUGCUAUCACUCUUGGAUGGACCUGCGGUGCAUUAGCUAGUUGGUAGGGUAACGGCCUACCAAGGCGAUGAUGCAUAGCCGAGUUGAGAGACUGAUCGGCAACAUUGGGACUGAGACACGGCCCAAACUCCUACGGGAGGCAGCAGGU
rnacentral:rRNA from 1 species